UCCCCGACUUUUUCUUUUUACGGCAACAAAACGAAAUUAUCUCUAUCUCUCUCCAGCGUAUCUUGUAAGCGGGAAGAUGACCGGAGCUGACAAGUCGUCUGAUUUAUUGAAGGAACUGGAGCGUUUGUUGGAUUCAGACCCCUUGAUGGAUGAAGUAGGGUUUAUUCAUCCAUCACAGCUUGCUGAACUUCGUAAAGAGGCCGGUAGUACUUCAAGGGACAGGCUCAUGGGAUCUGCACAAACAGAAGCUAAUACUUUUGAUUUAGUUUUUUGGAGCAGAGAGCAUAAGUUGGGAAUCUCUACCACUGCUCUUCUUCCGUUAUACAAAGCAGCUAAACAUGCAUUCAUGGAAGCAAUAAGACAAUAUCAGACUUUAACUGACUUGCAGAGAGAAAGAGAUGAUUCAAAAGAUGUCAAUGCAUCAACAUUUACUUCAUCUUCCAUAAGCAUUCUGGAGACUGAUGUGAUGAAGCACAGCCGGGCUCUUCUGUUGUUAAGCUGCGAUUUCGGCACUGCUUGGAAUUGCAGGAAAUUAGUUGUUUCCAAGCUGGAGCUACUUCAUACUUAUAUGGAUGAACUUAAUUUGUCAAGUUUGGUUCUUUCUUAUGCACCAAAAAGUGAACGUGCGUGGAACCAUCGGAGGUGGGUGAUCAAGAUGAUUGCUGGAAAGUGUCCAAAUCUGCAAGAGAUUAUUGAAAGAGAAUCUGAGUUUGUUGAGAAAUUAGCUGAGAGGUCAAAAAUGAAUUAUCGUGCAUGGAAUCACCGCUGCUGGUUGGUUUCUUACAUGUCUGGAGAGCAGGUACUACAUGAAUUGAACAAGUCCCGAGAUUGGGCUGGCCUUCAUGUUGCUGAUAACUCGUGCUUUCACUACCGUACACGGUUAUUGCUCAAGAUCUUAGAGGGUUAUGAUGACCAAAAUUCUGCUGCACCUUCAGCCACGAAUUUUCAUGAAUUGUGGAAGAAGGAACUUGAUUGGGUUGCUACAUUGAUAAAGUGCUACGUGGGAAGAGAGGAGGGAAAGUACAUCAAAAACUUUAUGGUUAGAUGUGGGCAUAUAUCUCUGUCUUUGAUGGGGCACUUCAGAAAACUGGAUGGAGGCAUUGAAGUCAAUUUCAGCAGCUUGACCUGGCCUUAUUCUUGUUCCAAGUGCAGGAUUCUGUCUAGGUCUAAUUUAUCGUUUAUGGUUCUUACUUUUGACAGAAGGCUGGAUCUGAUCGUGGGUCUUCCAUUUCUUGACAUCUCAUGAUUAAUAUCUUCUGCAUUCAGACAGUUCAACCAUAUAAAUGACUUCAUGCCUGGAUUACAGAUUUCUUGUCAAUCACUUGGAUCCAAUAUACGACUUGAAUGAAUACUUGUUGUCCUUAUAAUUCACAGCAUUUUAAAGCAACUGAUGAUUAUUUUGUUACUUUUGAUUUGCAGGCUUUAUGGCUCUAUCGCCGCUUUCUAUCAUUGACUUGGAUUAAGCAUUUUACAACUCAAGUUCACAGCAAUUCUUUUGGUUCCUGUCCCAAAAAUAUAAUGAAUGUCGAAGUAUUUAUGAGUAAUGAGCUACAAUUGUGUCAUUACUGCUCAAGUAUUCCUGAUAAUGACUUUGAGGACUAUCAAGCACAAGCAACCUUUUCUGCUACUUAUAUCAUGUGGAUUACAAGGCAAGUUGGUGGCUCUUUGCAAGUAGAGCUUCGAAAGAAGCUGGAAGCAAAUGGAUUGAAGACACUGGUAAACAAUGUCUGCCCAGAGAAGUCCUUCCUGUGGAAUACUUUCAGCGAAAGCAUCUAAUAACAGCUUUGGAGUUUUAAAAGGGUAAAUUUGGGUAUAUUUUAGGUGGUUGGUUGUUUUUGGAUCAUAUGCCAAAUCAGUCUUGAACUUGCUCUUCUUUGACCGUAUGUUGUACUCUUUCUUCGGGUUGCAAAAUGGGUGCUGCUGAAAACAUGAUGUCCAUCAUUUUGCUGGAUGCAAUCUGAUCUUUGUAGACACCAGUUUCUUUGGCCUGUUUAGUGGCUUUCAUACAGCCUUUUGAGUUUCUUCAAGUCAUCUGCGGCGUGUAUUCUUGUUAUCAUUAGAUUGUAAUUUUAAUCUCUGUAUAUCAAUUUCUGCUUCGUCUA